GGCUAAUCCAAUGAUAGUGAGUUAUCUCAAUUAAUUGUUCACAGUCAGUUACAGAUUGAACUCCUUGUUCUAUUCUUUCCUCUCUUCUCACUACUUCACUUGACUAGUCUUAA
rnacentral:Y_RNA from 1 species